rnacentral:rRNA from 1 species
GCCCUGUGAAGGUGAGCAAAUCCCAAAAAUAACGUCCCAGUUCGGAUUGUAGUCUGCAACCCGACUACAUGAAGCUGGAAUCGCUAGUAAUCGCGGAUCAGAAUGCCGCGGUGAAUACGUUCCCGGGUCUUGUACACACCGCCCGUCACACCAUGGGAGUCGGAAAUGCCCGAAGCCGGUGACUCAACCUUUAAGGAGAGAGCCGUCGAAGGCAGGUCUGAUAACUGGGGUGAAGUCGUAACAAGGUACC